rnacentral:ncRNA from 1 species
GAAAGCCUUAUGAUGGGAAACUACCACGUUAGGUUUGGAGAGAGAUGGGACCCGUUAUAGUUUAGGGGGAGCAGAUGCAAGCUUUUUCUUUCCAUAGCCAGCCAUGACUACCGGAUCAUCGGUCUAGUCUAC